rnacentral:rRNA from 1 species
AGAGUUUGAUCAUGGCUCAGGAUGAACGCUGGCGGCGUGCUUAACACAUGCAAGUCGAACGGACCGGAGGCCUUCGGACCCUGGUUAGUGGCGGACGGGUGAGUAACGCGUGAGGAACCUGCCUUGGAGUGGGGAAUAACGGUUGGAAACGACCGCUAAUACCGCAUAAUGCAACGGAGGCGCAUGCUCCGGCUGCCAAAGAUUUAUCGCUCUGAGAUGGCCUCGCGUCUGAUUAGCUAGUUGGUGGGGCAACGGCCCACCAAGGCGACGAUCAGUAGCCGGACUGAGAGGUUGGCCGGCCACAUUGGGACUGAGACACGGCCCAGACUCCUACGGGAGGCAGCAGUGGGGAAUAUUGGGCAAUGGGCGCAAGCCUGACCCAGCAACGCCGCGUGAAGGAAGAAGGCUUUCGGGUUGUAAACUUCUUUUAACAGGGACGAUGAUGACGGUACCUGUUGAAUAAGCUCCGGCUAACUACGUGCCAGCAGCCGCGGUAAUACGUAGGGAGCAAGCGUUAUCCGGAUUUACUGGGUGUAAAGGGCGUGUAGGCGGGACUGCAAGUCAGAUGUGAAAACUCAGGGCUCAACCCUGAGCCUGCAUUUGAAACUGUAGUUCUUGAGUACUGGAGAGGUUGACGGAACUCCUAGUGUAGCGGUGAAAUGCGUAGAUAUUAGGAAGAACACCAGUGGCGAAGGCGGUCAACUGGACAGCAACUGACGCUGAGGCGCGAAAGCGUGGGUAGCAAACAGGAUUAGAUACCCUGGUAGUCCACGCAGUAAACGAUGGAUACUAGGUGUGCG